AAUAUAAAGUCAUUGCCUCAUAGCUUCCAGAUUGUGAGCUUGUGCAGGUGGAUUUCGCUGCGUCGUUUUUGAAUGACAGUUUAACGUCGUGGGGACAGGGGGGGCACAGUGAUACAUUUACAUAGAGCGGAUGUACAAAAACCUCGCUGUGUUUGUAAUACUGGAAAUGUAAACAUAAGGGAAGAAAUCUACUGACUAGGGUAAACCUAAGAACUGGGCCGAGAAACAAAUGCUUUCUUAUUAAUUCUUUACCGAACAGAACAGCGCCAAUUCCUCCGAUACCGGUGACGUUCCGGUUUAGGACUGAGAGCAUGGCAGCCUUCACGUCCCUUAAUGUACCAUGGUGCCUCUGGAACCGAGGUGUUUGGAAGUGGAACCAAACUUACUGUUCUGGAAAAAGGAACCAAAAUAUCGUACCCCAAAGUGAAAAUCCUACCACCAUCCAAACAGGAGAUUGAGCAUAAUCGGGUCACUUUGGUCUGUGUGGUGACCAGUUUUUUCCCUGACCAUGUUACCGUCAAGUGGUACAUAAACGACCAUCUGGAGAACAGCCGAGCAAUAACAGAUGACAUUGCAACGCGGUCAGGGCAGACCUAUAGCAUCACUAGUCGACUGCGAGUAUCUCUGAAGCUAUGGUACAGCAGCAAGUACAGCUUCACUUGUUCCGUCAACUUUUUUAAUGGAAACCAUUCCGAAGAGUUUAGGGCGUCUGUCCAAGGGGACACAGGUUGUAUAAAGACUGCAGGCAAGGUUAAAACGGAUGGCAAUAUGGCAAAAUUUUCAUACCUUCUGUUCCUGGCAAAGAGCACACUGUUCUCACUGUUUGUAACAGUUUUCAUGUUCAGACUCAAGGGCUCUUCAAAAAUCAAAUGAGACUAGAUGAAAAGACAAGUGAAAACUGCUCAAGUAACUCCUGUUUCUUUAUCUGUUUUACUUUUCUUUAAUGAGCUAUUACCUGAACUUGACAUUAUUGCGCAAUAAAUCUUAUUCAACAUACAGGUUUUGCUAUUACAAUAUUAUUCAAACUUAUUUGUGUAAAUUACUAAGCUAGAUGGAAAAACAAAUCCCUUUUAUUUUAUAUUUUAUAUGCAAAGACAGUAGCUUGAUCUCUGUAUUUUUUCAUUCAGUUAAUUAACUUUUAAUAGAUUCCUUUCCUGAAUAAGUGGUUAAAAGAACAAGUAAUGCUUGGCAAUCAUAUUUGUGAAGAAACCAGGUUUGUGGAAUAAAAGUUUAUGAUAUGA